UUUAUUUUAAAAUUUCACAAAAUUUACAUAUUUAACCUUUUAUUUUUAAAUUCCAAAUUUUCAUUAAAAAUACAAUUCAAACAUUGAAAUAAUUAAAAUAAAAUAUAAGAUUUUAAAAUUAGAUAAAAAAAAUUAAAAAUAGAAUUUUAAAAAUUUUUAAAAAAUUACAAAAAAUUGGCUUCUUCUUCCCAAAAUUGGCUUCAACACCUCCACUUUCCCCAAAAACUUAAAAGAAAAAUAGGGCCUCUGCAAUUCUUCUUCUCCAUCCGCCUUCUUCUUCUCCCCCCCAUCCGCCUUCUUCUUCCCCAAAUCGCCUCUGCAAUUUUUUUUAAAAAUCGACCCCUCUGCCAUAUACCAACUCCCUUCGCCCCGAUUCUCCACCAAGUCCCGGCUUCGAACCAUGCCGAUGCUCUAGCGCGGCGCACGCUUCGGCGACCCGGAUCGAACCAAGUCCCAGCUUCGAACCCUAGGUUGUCGCAGGCGGCCUGUCAUCGAAGCCUCUCAGGAAAGCCAACUUUCCCCUCACGACCUAUCUCGCGCUCCUCUCUUUUUCCCCCAAAUCCAGAACCCUAGGUCGUUUGUCGCCACCGCCACCGCUUCCACCGGUAGUCGCCUCCCUCGCACUGAAAUACUCCGAUUUUAAUGGCGGCGGCCCUCUCUCUCUCUCAGAUAAUAUGCACAAAUUGGGCACAACUUUAUCUUUCUAGGGUU
rnacentral:lncRNA from 1 species